CCCUCCUUUCCCUCCCUCCCUCCCAAGCCAUCAAGUCUUUGGCAUCAUUAUCCUCUUCACUAAAUCCUACUGGAUACAAGGCGAAAAACGGUGAACAC
ensembl:misc_RNA